rnacentral:rRNA from 1 species
UACGUAGGCAGCGAGCGUUGUUCGGAGUUACUGGGCGUAAAGGGUGUGUAGGCGGUUUUCUAAGUUUGGUGUGAAAUCUCCCGGCUUAACCGGGAGGGUGCGCCGAAAACUGGGAGACUAGAGUGCGGGAUGGGAGAGUAGAAUUCCUGGUGUAGCGGUGAAAUGCGUAGAUAUCAGGAGGAAUACCGGUGGUGUAGACGGCUCUCUGGACCGCAACUGACGCUGAAACACGAAAGCGUGGGUAGCAAACAGG